ACCCCUAAAUGGGAGAGUUGCCAGCGGAUCCCAUAAGAACUCUGGAGUUAAGCGUGCUUAGGUGGGAGCAGUCACGGAUGGGUGACCUCCUGGGAAGUCCCAAAGAUGCGUGUGC